rnacentral:rRNA from 1 species
UACAGAGGUCCCAAGCGUUGUUCGGAUCCAUUGGGCGUAAAGGGUGCGUAGGCGGCGCGGUAAGUCGGGUGUGAAAUCUCGGAGCUUAACUCCGAAACUGCAUUCGAUACUGCCGUGCUUGAGGACUGGAGAGGAGACUGGAAUUUACGGUGUAACGGUGAAAUGCGUAGAUAUCGUAAGGAAGACCAGUGGCGAAGGCGGGUCUCUGGACAGUUCCUGACGCUGAGGCACGAAGGCCAGGGGAGCAAACGGG